GUAAUAUUACCUUCAUUCUAAAUUAUUUGUCUUAGAUUUGUUUAGAUACAGAUGUAUAAACGUGUUAAGAUACAUCUAUAUCUAGACAAAUGUAAGACAAAUAAUUCAGGACGGAGGAAGUACUAA
rfam:Triticum urartu cultivar G1812 contig355991, whole genome shotgun sequence.